rnacentral:lncRNA from 1 species
GACAGCUCCUUCUCUGUUGCAUUUAUUCAGUGGAUUCAUUUCCUUGAUGCAAAGCAUCUGUAUUUGUUGGUGUUGCCUUUUGAGCGAUGUCUCUGACUUGUUUGUUUUGAAUUACAUUACAGGCUGGAAUGUAAUUGUGGCAAAAGUAUUUUUGUGGAGCCGAGAGUAGCAGCUGAUCACAGUUACAUGCUUCAGAGGAUUUAUAAUUGCUUGGUUUUGUACAUGUGUGUUUUUAACUGCAUUUGAGAAGCUUUAAGGAAGAGAAUUUGCAUGAUUUUAAUGUGUAAUUGUGUUAUGUGUACCUUCUCUUCAAUUUCACCUACUGUAAAAAUUAUCUUCUCAUUGAGUUUUAGUGCUUUGACUAGUUUAUUCCUUUUUUACUUGGUCACAGUUUAGUUCUGCCCCCUAUGCUUUUCUGCAAGUAGACUUCAUUGCACUUAUUGUCUUAUUUUCUCAGGGAGUAUUUGUAGACAAAAAAAACAAAAAAAAAACCAAAACCUGAAAGCUUUUUUCUGGAGAGUACCACCCAGUAAGUCUGGCCAAGCAUCAUUAUGUCAAGAAUGUUCCUGGUAAACAUUUGUUACAUAAAAGUAUUGAUUGAAAUUUGGGGAAAAAUGAAAAACACCAUGAAAAGGGGACUAUCUAGGAUAAAAAGCCAAAGCCAAAAAUAGUAUCUAGGUAUUUUUUUGGCCAUGCCUGAGGCAUGUAUAAGUUCCUGGGCCAGGGAUUGAACCUGUGCCACAGCUAUAACCAGAGCCACAGCAGUGACAACGCUGGAUCCUUAACCCACUGAGCCACCAGAGGACUCCCAUAUCUGGGUAUUUUAAUUCAGAGAUAGUUUCUACCAAAAGGAUCAAGAUAAUAAUAAAACUAUAAACAGGGAAGGAUAGAAAAGACUUAUCAAUAUACAUGUGUUCUGUCUUUGGUGUAGUUUGGAGUGUGGAUAAGUAUUUCAAAUUCUUAAGGAUGGCUAAAAAUUUUAAUUUGGUUGUUACCGUUUUGAUUCUGUCUCUCUAGGACUAGAUGUAUAGAAGAGUCUCUCCCACAUUGUCGGUCUGAGGCAUAGUUCCCUCCAUUGCUGUGGGGAACAGUCAGUUUGGACGGAGCACUGAAGACCGGAGGGCAGCACCUCCAGCACAGAUACAGGGCCUCUGUCGGGUCACGGCCAUGGAGGCCAUGACAGCAGUUAGCAGUGGUGGUGAGGCAUUGAGGACGUGUGAUGAGGGGAUCCGGCUUCCUGAGUCGCACAUCCUCUGGCUCCUUAGACAUGGCUUCAAAUAUUAAGAUGCUCCAGUUUGAAAAGUGGAAUCCAAUGGACUGAUACCCAUGAAGUGUGUCAAGGACACCAGCUGAGAGGAUCGUUUUGUGUAUGAGUGAAUGUUGCCAGUUGUGGGAUGCACGAAGUUUUUAGAACCACAGCUUUGUUUAGAGAAAUUAGUGGGAAGUGACUGCAUCUAAGUUGUUAGAGUAGCCAGUGUUUACUGGUCUGUGCCCCGGACUCUGCUGGGAAUGGGUGGUGUGUAAUGCUUUGGCAGGCUUCAAUCACUGAUAAAAGAUCAUGUUAAAAUAUCUUUGUGCUUUCCUGUGACUUGGCGCAAGUAUCCCUUCCUGUGUUGUAUUUGGAAUAUCAUGGAGAGAAAACAGAUAGCCAAGAACUUCAGUGUAGGCAAGAACUGUUAAUUUUCCUUUAAACUCUAUUUGGAAAUAAUUUAAGCUUAGAGAAAAGUUGCAAAAAUACCUAUACAUCUUUUAUUUUUUGAACCUAUUAACAUCUUUUACCUUUAGCUUUAUCAUUUGAUCUCUCUUUAUCCUCUCUCUCUCUAAAAUAUGUGUGUGUGUGUGUAUAUAUGUGUGUUUUUCUGACCCAUUUAGUAGAAAGUUAUAUACAUCAUACAUUCUUAUAUGCUUCUUAUAUUACCCUGGCAUAGUUAAUUGACUUCAGUAAAUUUAACAUUAGUAUAAUACUUUUAUUUAAUAUAUCAUUUAUAUUCCGAUUUUGUCAAUUGACCCCAUAACAUCCUUUAGAGAAUUGUCCCCACCCCCCUGUGCAUCGAAUCCAUUUUAAGAUCAGAUAUUGCAUUUGAUUGUCAUGUAUCUUUAGUUUCUUUUGUUUUAGAACAUUUCCACAGCCUUUGCUUCUGUGACAUUGACAUUUUAAAAAUAUUACAGUCCUCUGCCCGCCCCCCUUUCUUUUUUUGUAAGUGUUUCCUUAUGAUUAGAUUAGGUUAUGCAUUCUAGGUGAUGUUAUGUUUUUCUCCGGGUGUCACACCUGGAGGCCCCCAAAGGCCAUCUGUCCCUCUUUAGAGAUGUUAAUUUUGGUCACCUGGUGAAGGCAUUAUCUAAUUUCUUUGCUGUGUAAUUAUUAUUUUUUCUCCCUCCCUUGCAAGGAAUAAGCAGUGUGGGGAGAGGAACUGUUAAAUUUUUAAAAGAAAAUGUACUUGACAUUGAUGGAAAGGAGGGGAAGAAAGUUAAUGAUAUGUAUUUCAAAGCAAUUGUUAAAUUGAUUGCAUUCUUCCUCUUUUAGUAUGUCUGCCAAAAUUUACAAAAUUCUUUUCCUAAUAAUAUUUUAAGUAGGGAUGUCUUAAAAAAAUCAACAGGAAGCCUCAGGCAUAAGCUCUCUUCUAUCUUUUCCUUAGCAAAACCGAUAAUUAUGUCAAUUUAGUUUAAUUUACCUGCAAAGGUAAGGGUUUUGGAAAAAUAAGUCUAAGAUGUUUCUGGUUUCACAGGUUGCUGAGAGUGAUCCAAGAGGAUGUGUAACUCCUCUAUAGGUUGUCAUUUGGCCGUAAAAUGUGAGUUCUCUUGGGUUUCCAUAGAGAUGUCUAGAUUUAAAAUAUUUUAAGCACUGCUACUUUCAAAAUGAGUGUCAGUAAAAAUAGCUAAAGCCAAGGCUCUUUUUAAAAAAUUAUUAAACAUUUUUAAAAAGUAGUGAGGUUCCUGGUUAAAAAUUCAUGUUGAAGCCAAAGCUUGUCCUUCCCAAUCGUUCUGCAUCAACUGGCCUUGAAUAGCCCUGGGGAGAAGAGGCAUCAGGAAUUGCUUUCCCGGCCUUUUGGCAAAGGAAUGAGACUACAUUGACUUCAUCUAUGAAGACAACUGCCAACUAUUUUCCUACUCUGUAAAUUGUUAAUUGUGUGUGGUGAGGAAAGGGGUGAUGGCUGACGCUAUUAUUUUUAUGGGUACGACUGGCAUAGGUUCUGGUGAAAGUUUGACAUCUUCAGAAUCUUAUGUUUUUUCAAGUUGGGCUAAUAAAAACAGGCCCCUGGGAGUAUUUCUCACCUGAUUUGUACAUGACCAUUGGGCUCAAUACCAUGUAUCCAUGACUACUAGGGAGACUUCGUGAUGUGGUUGAAGCCCAUGAACUUGGGCGUCUAGAGCAGGUACUGGCAAGCCCAGCUUGCUGCCUGUUUGGGUACCACUCAUAAGUCAAAUUGAUUUUGUGUCUUUAAAGGGUUGAAAAAAAUCAAAAGGAGAUUUUAAUGACUCGAACAUAUGAAAUUUCAAUUUCAAUGUCUGUAAAUUAAUUUUUAUUGGAACACAGCCAUGCCCAUUUAUUUCCAUAUUGCCCGGGGCUGCCUCUGUGCUACAGUGGCUCAGUCGAGCAGCAGUGACAGAGACCUAUGGUUCCCACAGCCUAAAAUCUUCGGUGUCUGGCCCUUUAGGAAAAUAUUUACUGCCCCCUGGUCUAGAGAAUAUAAAAUGUUGAAGUUGGAUUUCUAAGGUGCUUAUUCAAGUUUUGUGACUUUGGAACUGAAUCAUGUGGUUCAUUGUGCAGCUGUGCUGAAUUGCUUCAGUACCAUGAUUCUUUUUUAAAAGUCAGUUUAUAAAUACAAAAGAGAGAUCCAAGACACUAAAAUAUUUAUUCUGGCUUAAAAUAUUUUGUUUCCAUAUAUACACUUUAAGAGGGUGGCAAGGAGAAAAGAUAAUUUAUCAUUUUAUUUGGGUUUAGAAUAAAAACAUACAUUUUAUUCAUGAUCAUCAUAUAAAAAUAUUAUCAAGUGUGUAUCACUUUUAGGAGCACUUACUAAAAUGUCAGAAAUCUGCUGCACCCUUUAAAAAACCAGGACUUAAACAGAAACUAUCUCCAUGCCACCCCCAUCACUGUGCCUUCCCCAAUUUCCUUGGGGAACAGGUUAGGGAACCCUUUGGUGCUAGUUUGAGGAAAAGACAAAAAAAUAAAUAUGUGUUAGAUAUUUUGUGUAUGUGUUUUUCAACCUGGUGUUGAGCUCAGAACAAAGCCUUAGGUGUAAUAGAUCAAUGUUUUAAUUCUAAACUUCGUGGUGAAGAUUAUUUGAGGCUGACUUCAUGAAGAAGGAGAGACACUUGAGACACUUGCUUCCCUGAAAGGCAGUAGGAUUGGAAAAAGCAGGUGAGCAGGUGUGGGCAGCACACGCACUAUUAGAGUAGGGGGAAGGCAAGGAUGUGAAGCCCAGGGCCGUGAUGCUAGAGUCAAGUUAUGGUUAAGAUCCCCUACUUUCCAAGAAAGAGUCAUUUUUCACCCUCCCUCUCUCUCUCUCUUUCUCUCUCUUUUUUGGCCGUGACCACAGCAUGCAUAUGUUUCCAGGCCAGGGGAUCGAACCUGUGCCACAGCAGGAACCAGAGUCACGGCAGUGACCAUGUCAGAUCCUUAACCUGCUGAGCCACCAGGGAACUCCCUCCUCUUUCUGAUGCGAGUGAUUUCAUACUUGUUCCUGGAAUAUGUGUGGUUUGGGGUCGGGGAUGGCUAGGGACAAGGGUUCUGGCCCUACCGUCACCGAAGUACGGAGUCCGGAGUCACAUGUCACUAGGCAAGGGCUGUGGGGAUGUGAGUGUGUCAGUAAGCAGAAGCUAACAUUUACAUCAGUAUGUGCCAGGCUCUAUUCGUAUGCUGCCUCAUUAAUCCUCACAUCAGUCCUAUGAGUCAGGAGUUAUUCUCUCCACUUCACAUCAAGGAAACUGAGGCAUGGGGAGGUUAAGUAACCUGUCCAGGGUUGCGGAGCACUAAAUGAUCGAAUCAGUCAGAACGGGCUGGUUUAUGCCACGGGAACAACCUUCACGUUUUAGUGACUUGGGAAAAAGUGUAAUUCUCUCAUGCCGCACCUCUUGUCCAUCUCAGGUCAGGCCACGGGCUUGGGCUGCCAUCUGGAACCUCCUUGGUCCCUCUGGUGGGGAGAGAAGAGGAGAUGGCCAGCAGGGCUCUGGUAUCAGAACACAGCUUCCCAUUCAAUGUGUAGAUGAAUCGCCUGGGGAGCUUGAUGAAUGCACGCUGUGACUCAGAAGCUCCGGGAUGGGCCUGAGAUUCCACAAUUCCAGCAAGCUUCUAGGUGAUUCCUACGUUGCUGGACCAUGGACCACUCUUGAGGAAGGAGGGCUUUCCUGGCUGUUACCCAGAAGUGCCUCAUCACUGCUGCUCACGGGAGAAUUAAAGUAAAUCACAUGCACAUGCCAACUUCAAGGUGGCAGGAAAUGUAACCCAAACUCUACCUCAGGAGGAGGAGAAAUGGGAAUGCUUGUGAACAGCCCUCAUGAAGAGCAAAAAGCAUGAAGCUAGGAUAUGAAUUCAGACAGGGGUCUCCAGGGUGCUCUUAAUCAUCACUCCGCGGGGUCCUGGUGUGAGUCCAUUCACUGCGGAGAAAAGGAAGCACCGUGGCGGGCCGCUGGCGGGGUAGCCCUCAAGACUGAUCAGUUGCAAUUGACUUGUGUGACAAGAGUUGGGUGUCCCGGGCUGCUUCCUGUCAAAUGCAGCAGUUCUCAACAUGGUGUCGCAACUGUGAGAUGUUUCAAUCCAUUUUCUUAGUAAUGUGCUGACAUCUCUGAAUUAUUUAUUGCUUUAUUAUUUAAAGCAUACCUUAGAGUGGAGUCAAGUCUGUCCCUAUUACAUUCUCUCUCAUCUAAUAUUCUUCCAUGCUUUCUUGUUUUGGAGAAGGGGUGAGGUUAAAGACAGCAUCCAGGAAAUUGUGCAUGAGCCUGGGGACACCCACGGGUGUGUGUCCACACACCAUUCAUCAUGUGUGUUUGCUGCAAGUGCUGGAGGUGCUGGUCUGGAGGAGUCCUGGGCUUGUCAGCACAGCAAACUCCUUUCCCAGCUGGUGGUGGCUGAGAAGCAGCUUCUCGGAGCCUGAAGCCUAUACAGUUGCCUGGGAACUUCUGAGAUGGAAUUGUGGGACUGAGUUGGGAUUCACAUUAGAGUCUCUCUGUUUUGACUGCACCUGUGGCAUGUGGAAGUUCCCCAGUCAGGCACUGAACCUGAGCCACAGCAGUGACAAUGCUGGAUCCUUAACUGCUAGGCUACUAGGGAACUUCAUGUUGAGAGUCUUUAAAAGGAGAAAAGAGACCUGUGUUCUUUACAGCAUAGUGUCUAGUAAAUGUCACACCCCGUUUGAGCUCCCAGUACCACAGUAAGGCCAUGUUAACAAGAGAUGGACUAACUGUGGUAUUGGGAGCUCAAAGGAGCAGGCUGCUUUGCUAUUGGUUCCCAGGCUUAAGUGUAGAUGAACUGGUUUGAAACAUGGUUUGAAGCAAAGCCUCAUCCACCUUUUGGAAAACCUGACCUGCGAGUGAGACUUGGAAAGAAAUAAGGUUGUUCUUCCUCC